rnacentral:lncRNA from 1 species
CCAAUCAAAGAUGCUGAGAGUAAGCGUAAGCUCACCCGGAAGCUCGAAGAGCUUCCCUUCAUUCGCUUCGCGGGAGCCGCACAGCACAUAGCUGGAAGUCAGAGGGCCCAUACUACCUGCCUAACCCUUCGCUCCGAGGGACCGUAGAUCGGAAAGCGCCUUCUGCACAUCACAUAGCUGAAGUCAGAGGGCCCACACUACCUGCCUAGCCCUUUGCUUCGAGGGACUGUAGAUCGGAAAGCGCCUUCUAAACCACCCCAUUCAUCCAAAAGAGAAGGGAAGGGGUUUAUGUAUUUGCAUGACCCUUACAGAUUUAACCGUAUCUAUACCCGGAGCCACUCCCCUAGCGGUCCUGCCACCACGCCGCAGAACGGGAGCUCGUGUGGAACCUUUUAUUGUGGCAUAACAGCGGCAGAACGUAACAAUAUAUUACGGCCGCCUAACAUAGGGGACUGAGGUACGGUAAACUCGGCCAAAAUAUAAGACCCGAAGGGCCGGCGCGCACAAUCUUGUCCUAUCUGAGUCCGAAUUUACCCCUCGCAAUUCGGACAGCCAUCCGUAGCAUCAUAAGGAGGACCCCCCUUUCGAGGUACAAAAAGAGUACGGUACAUAGGAGGUUGGUCUUUCUCAACGUGGUGUAUAGCACGAAAAACCUUUCGAUACAAGAUAGGGCCGUUCACAUGAAAGAAAAAAAUGAAUCCUUUCUUAUCUUCUUUCCCGAGAGGGAAAGAGAAAGAGGGUCUUAUGGAGGGAGGGGGGAGGGGAUACAAGAUAGGGUCGUUCGAAUUAAAGAAAAAAAUGAAUCCUUUCUUAUCUUCUUUCCCGAAAUGGAAAGAGAAAGAGGGUCUUAUGGGGGGAGGGGGGAGGGGAAAGGCUUGGGCCUACCUAUCCCGAUAGGACCCCAUAAAAGAACGGGAGCUGUUGAGAGGUUCCAUA